CCAGCUGUGCACGAGAGUUCUUGUUUCUCCACGUCUCAUCAAAAUGUUUAUUAUUUGUCCUUUUGAUUAGGGUCACCAUAACGGGUGCGAAAUGGUAGCUCCUUGAGGUUGUGGUUGUUUUUUUGGUUUUUGUUUUUAACCUUUACGGUUUUGAUUCACACUCCCUUGACGGCUUCGGUCUCUCUUGCAGAAAACAUUUCGGCGACACCCACUAUAAGCCACUGCCUCUUGGGAAUAUUCUGCCCCGAUUCUCCUGUACUUCCUAGAGGACUACCAGCCAAUAGGCUUCGCCACGGGAAGACAGCUGCCUUAGAAGGUCAAGCCCAUGGCUAAUAUAGCUCUGUGACCAACAACUACUCUUAAUGUCUACAUCAGCUAUGGGCAAAAGCGAAUCCCAUGUUGAGGACAACCAAGAAAUAAUUCAUAAGGUUAAUGACAUUUGCUGUGAAGGCCAGGUGAUUACUACAGAAUUUGGAACUGGAGACAAGGAGCCAGAGGGCUGGAUCUCAAGAAUAAUAUCCUCCAUUUAUCUGAUGAGCGUAUUGUCAAAGUUCCCAAGUUAUUCAUCUAUAUAAGUAACAUUGCCACCCACCA
rnacentral:lncRNA from 1 species